ensembl:lncRNA
GUAAUUCUCCAUCCGUGUCAGUGUGCCUGUUGUAAGUGGGGAAUCCCCACAGUCAGCAGUGAAGGUGCUUAUGGAAGACCUUGUAAUAACAAGGAUGGACACCCCAAGAGUCAACUGAGAAAGGUGGAGAUGAGGGGCAGACACACACGCAGGACACAAAUCUCCUGUUAUCUUCAAUGCUUUUUAAAGGUCACUUCAUAUUCCAAGAUGGCUGCCAGAGAUCCAUCCAUCAGAUCCACAUUCCAAGUCAAUAGCAAGAGAAAGGAGAAAAGAAAAAGGAUAUGCGUGCCUUUUACAGAACCUUUUCCAGAAGGCCCACACUAACUUAUAUUUCUUUGGGCAUCAUUUUAUCAUAUGGCCACAUCUGGCUGCAGAGAAGGCUGGGAAUAUCAUUUUUUAGCUGGCUGUAGUGUCUCGAAGUCAGUUACGAAGGAAGAAGGGAAGGAUGAAUAUAAACAAAAUUAUACUGAGCAAAACAAGUCAGGACACAAGAAGAGUGUAUACUGUAUGGUUCCAUUUAUAUGAAACUCUAGGAAAGGCAAAUCUAAUUUAUAACAGCAGCAAGCAUUGCUGAUCGUGGGUCAGAAUUUACAGGGUGUGCAGCAAGGAAGGUUUUUGGGAUAAUGGAAAUGUUCUGUGUCCUGAUGAUGAUGCUUAUAUAGGAGUACAGAUUGGUCUUCCAAUCUGUACAAGUGUUGUCUUCCAAACAUGCACUUCCAAGGGAUGCCAUUUCAUUUGAACUAUAUAUUAUACCUCAGUAAAGUUGAGUUUUAUAAUUAUGAAAAACCCCAACACUAUAACAAAAUUAUUCUUAAAGUUUAUUCAUUUUCCUUCUCUUUUAUUUGCAUAUCUUGACACAGCUGAGAGUACAAUGCUUAUACUCACUUGGAUUCCUGCAUUCUUCACUUUACAUCAUAAGAUUUUUCCAUGUUGCUUCGUUGAUCUUCAUAAGCAUAACUUGAAAUGACUGUAUGAUCCUUUGGGAGUUUGAAAUGUAACAUGUGUACACAUACAGUUAAAACAAUUCACAAGCACCAAAGAACACACAAUAGAAUGGAGUCUCCCCCUGCAACUCUGUAAAACCCUUACUUAGAAGCAGUGGAUUCCAGUUUCUAGCACAUAGAACCAGAAACAUCCUGUGCACAUAAAGACACACGUGUGAAGACCUCCUCUCCUGUGAGACGUCUCGGAGGCAAUCCUGAGUACUCACUUGCUCACAUGAUACAUCUUGAACACCCGCUCAUGUUCUUCAUACGGUCUGAAUGUUCUCUCAUUUAUUGAAUCAAUAUUGUUAAGCACAUAGUGUUUCCCCAGUUUCUUUUUUCCUAUUAAUCAUGCCGUAGAUGUCAUGUUACUGGUUUGACUCAGCUACCAAGUUUAAAAUAAAUGCUACGUUCCAAAGGAGCUGCUAGGCUGUCUACAGCAUUUGCCAAGCAAGAUGCUUAAAGCCAGCUGUGCUGGUGCACACCUGCAGUCCCAGCUGCUUGGAGGGCUGACAUGGAAGCGGCUCAAAUUCAAGGGCAGCCUGGGCAAUUUAGCUGUGCCUCAUUCUGGCUCCAGGAGAGCAGCGUUCAUGCAGCCACAGUGUGGAAACCGGAGCGUCUACCCACGGCCUGUCUGUUACCAGGUAGGGGGUCCCGCGGGAUUCCCUCCGGAUCCUCGGUGUCCUGAACACAGAAGUGGACGAGACAAGACACACGGAAAAGGCGGCGCAAGCGUACAUUUAGUGAAGGCGGAAAAGAUCACGCUCUGCGGAGUAAGCGGGCGCGUGAGAAGACGCACAGCGCCCAGGCAGGCGGACAGGGGUUCUUUUGUAUUCACAGUUCCGGAGUUGGCUUCUCCCAGUGCAAAGAAAGCACCAGGACAGUUGUCAAAAACCCACUUGGCCCGGAGCCAGGUGUAGACUGCGCUAGGCAAAAACUCACGGGACUUCUUGCCAGACAGCAACAGGACUGAAAAACAGCACUUUUCUGAUUGGUCCUACGAACCGCACCUGGUUCCGAGGAAGGACUGAAGAUACUGCCUUCUGAUUGGGUCUGUGGACGGCGCUCGGGAGCCCUGGGGUCCUCCUGGGUCCUGUGUCCUGUGCAUGUCGCUGGAUUUUAUGACCCUCGACUCCUCCCCCUCCCGUCGUGGCCGCUUCGCCCAGCCCUGAUCUUCCGUUGCGCACCUCACAGAGAACUCCUUUCGGCGCGCUUGCCAUUGGAGCAGGACGUGAGGAGAGCAUGAAGCAGAAGCAGAAGCAGAGGAAGAGCCUGGGGAGCCCCAGGAAGGGAUUUCCUUGCGAAUGGGGUUCAGGGCACAAGGGCGCGAGGUAGGGGUUGAGUGGCUAGAGAGGCGCUUCGUCCUGGGGACAGCAGAAGGAACCGCAGAGCCUGUCCCUCCUCGUACACCGAGCCCAGCGAUCCCUGCGGGGCUCAGCGAGAUCAUGAAGGUGGAAUGAGUUAGAAAAGCCCCCUGCUCUAAGGAAUUCUCAUUGAUCAGGAGAUGAAAGGGAGAUGCCCUUCCACCGCGGCGAAGGCCUGCCCGAGCUCCCCAGCC